CAGUGAAGUCAGACCGGAAGGACUGGUGGAGUGCUUAGAAGUGAGAAUGCCGGUAUGAGUAGCGAAAGACGGGUGAGAAUCCCGUCCACCGAAUGCCUAAGGUUUCCUGAGGAAGGCUCGUCCGCUCAGGGUUAGUCAGGACCUAAGCCGAGGCCGACAGGCGUAGGCGAUGGACAACAGGUUGAUAUUCCUGUACCACCUCUUUAUCGUUUGAGCAAUGGAGGGACGCAGAAGGAUAGAAGAAGCGUGCGAUUGGUUGUGCACGUCCAAGCAGUUAGGCUGAUAAGUAGGCAAAUCCGCUUAUCGUAAAGGCUGAGCUGUGAUGGGGAAGCUUCUUAUGGAGCGAAGUCUUUGAUUCCCCGCUGCCAAGAAAAGCUUCUAGCGAGAUAAAAGGUGCCUGUACCGCAAACCGACACAGGUAGGCGAGGAGAGAAUCCUAAGGUGUGCGAGAGAACUCUGGUUAAGGAACUCGGCAAAAUGACCCCGUAACUUCGGGAGAAGGGGUGCUUUCUUAACGGAAAGCCGCAGUGAAUAGGCCCAAGCGACUGUUUAGCAAAAACACAGCUCUCUGCGAAGCCGUAAGGCGAAGUAUAGGGGGUGACACCUGCCCGGUGCUGGAAGGUUAAGGAGAGGGGUUAGCGUAAGCGAAGCUCUGAACUGAAGCCCCAGUAAACGGCGGCCGUAACUAUAACGGUCCUAAGGUAGCGAAAUUCCUUGUCGGGUAAGUUCCGACCCGCACGAAAGGUGUAACGAUUUGGGCACUGUCUCAACCAGAGACUCGGUGAAAUUAUAGUACCUGUGAAGAUGCAGGUUACCCGCGACAGGACGGAAAGACCCCGUGGAGCUUUACUGUAGCCUGAUAUUGAAUUUUGGUACAGUUUGUACAGGAUAGGCGGGAGCCUUUGAAACCGGAGCGCUAGCUUCGGUGGAGGCGCUGGUGGGAUACCGCCCUGACUGUAUUGAAAUUCUAACCUACGGGUCUUAUCGACCCGGGAGACAGUGUCAGGUGGGCAGUUUGACUGGGGCGGUCGCCUCCUAAAGUGUAACGGAGGCGCCCAAAGGUUCCCUCAGAAUGGUUGGAAAUCAUUCGUAGAGUGCAAAGGCAUAAGGGAGCUUGACUGCGAGACCUACAAGUCGAGCAGGGACGAAAGUCGGGCUUAGUGAUCCGGUGGUUCCGCAUGGAAGGGCCAUCGCUCAACGGAUAAAAGCUACCCCGGGGAUAACAGGCUUAUCUCCCCCAAGAGUCCACAUCGACGGGGAGGUUUGGCACCUCGAUGUCGGCUCAUCGCAUCCUGGGGCUGUAGUCGGUCCCAAGGGUUGGGCUGUUCGCCCAUUAAAGCGGUACGCGAGCUGGGUUCAGAACGUCGUGAGACAGUUCGGUCCCUAUCCGUCGUGGGCGUAGGAAAUUUGAGAGGAGCUGUCCUUAGUACGAGAGGACCGGGAUGGACGCACCGCUGGUGUACCAGUUGUUCUGCCAAGGGCAUAGCUGGGUAGCUAUGUGCGGAAGGGAUAAGUGCUGAAAGCAUCUAAGCAUGAAGCCCCCCUCAAGAUGAGAUUUCCCAUAGCGUAAGCUAGUAAGAUCCCUGAAAGAUGAUCAGGUUGAUAGGUUCGAGGUGGAAGCAUGGUGACAUGUGGAGCUGACGAAUACUAAUAGAUCGAGGACUUAACCAU
rnacentral:rRNA from 1 species